AAUGGUCUCAAAUAGCACUUGGACGUACAAGAUCCCGACUAUUGACACCAUACCUCAGAAUUUCAAUGUCCAUGUGGUAAACAGUGGACAUCACAAAAAGCGUGUUCUCUCGUCCAAAGCAUCUGGUGAACCACCGUUGCUGCUGGCAGUUAGUGUCCAUUGUGCAACACGAGCAGCGGUUAAAGCAGCACGUGAACAGCUCAAACAAUGGGACAAG
rnacentral:misc_RNA from 1 species